rnacentral:rRNA from 1 species
GGAGUUAGCCGGUGCUUCUUCUGUGAGUGAUGUCCUUCCUGCCGGUUAUUGACCCGCAGGCCUUCUUCCUCACUGAAAGUGCUUUACAACCCGAAGGCCUUCUUCACACACGCGGCAUGGCUGGAUCAGGGUUGCCCCCAUUGUCCAAUAUUCCCCACUGCUGCCUCCCGUAGGAGUCUGGGCCGUGUCUCAGUCCCAGUGUGGCUGAUCAUCCUCUCAGACCAGCUACGGAUCGUCGCCUUGGUGAGCCGUUACCUCACCAACCAGCUAAUCCGACAUAGGCUCAUCCGAUAGCGCGAGGCCCGAAGGUCCCCCGCUUUCCCCCGUAGGGCGUAUGCCGGUAUUAGCCUGGGUUUCCCCAGGGUUAUCCCCCACUACCGGGCAGAUUCCUAUGCAUUACUCACCCGUCCGCCGCUCGCCACCAGGGAGCAAGCUCCCCGUGCUGCCGCUCGACUUGCAUGUGUUAGGCCUGCCGCCAGCGUUCAAUCUGAGCCAUAAUCAAACUCUGA